rnacentral:rRNA from 1 species
UACAGAGGGUGCAAGCGUUAAUCGGAAUUACUGGGCGUAAAGGGUGCGUAGGUGGGUGUGUAAGUUGGAUGUGAAAGCCCCGGGCUCAACCUGGGAUGGUCAUCCAAUACUGCAUGUCUAGAGUAUGGUAGAGGGUAGUAGAAUUUCCGGUGUAGCGGUGAAAUGCGUAGAGAUCGGAAGGAAUAUCAAUGGCGAAGGCAGCUACCUGGGCCAAUACUGACACUGAGGCACGAAAGCAUGGGGAGCAAACAGG